GACGAACGCUGGCGGCGUGCUUAACACAUGCAAGUCGAACGGAAAGGCCCUGCUUUUGUGGGGUGCUCGAGUGGCGAACGGGUGAGUAACACGUGAGUAACCUGCCCUUGACUUUGGGAUAACUUCAGGAAACUGGGGCUAAUACCGGAUAGGAGCUCCUGCUGCUUGGUGGGGGUUGGAAAGUUUCGGCGGUUGGGGAUGGACUCGCGGCUUAUCAGCUUGUUGGUGGGGUAGUGGCUUACCAAGGCUUUGACGGGUAGCCGGCCUGAGAGGGUGACCGGCCACAUUGGGACUGAGAUACGGCCCAGACUCGUACGGGAGGCAGCAGUGGGGAAUAUUACACAAUGGGCGGAAGCCUGAUGCAGCAACGCCGCGUGCGGGAUGACGGCCUGCGGGUUGUGUACCGCUUUCGCCUGUGACGAAGCGUGAGUGACGGUAAUGGGUAAAGAAGCACCGGCUAACUACGUG
rnacentral:rRNA from 1 species